rnacentral:rRNA from 1 species
CACGUAGGGCGCAAGCGUUGUCCGGAAUUAUUGGGCGUAAAGAGCUCGUAGGCGGUCUGUUGCGUCUGCUGUGAAAACCCGGGGCUUAACCCCUGGCUUGCAGUGGAUACGGACAGACUAGAGGUAGGUAGGGGAGAAUGGAAUUCCCGGUGUAGCGGUGAAAUGCGCAGAUAUCGGGAGGAACACCAGUGGCGAAGGCGGCUCACUGGACUGGUAUUGACGCUGAGGUGCGAAAGCGUGGGGAGCAAACAGG